rnacentral:rRNA from 1 species
UACGGAGGGUGCAAGCGUUAUCCGGAUUUACUGGGUUUAAAGGGUGUGUAGGCGGGCUUUUAAGUCAGUGGUGAAAUCUCCGGGCUCAACCCGGAAACUGCCAUUGAUACUAUUAGUCUUGAAUUUUGUUGAGGUAGGCGGAAUAAGUCAUGUAAGCGGUGAAAAUGCAUAGAUAUGACUUAGAACACCAAUUGCGAAAGGCA